AAGGCCUGUCAAAUUUGAGGAUAUCUUGAUAUUAAGGAAAUAUAUUAAGUAUUUAUUACAUCCUGGAAAUGGUGAGGUUUUUGGGUUUAAUUAUUUUAGUAUUUGCGUGUGUUGGAAUUUUUAAUAGAUACCAACUAAGAGAUAGUAAUAUUUAUUACUUUUUUUAUAUUUUAAUUACUUAGUUAGGCCUUAUAAUAUUGUUCGGCUUUAAUAAUGAUUUCAUUAGUAUUUAACAAAAUUUGGGUUAGGAACUCGGCAAAACUUAAUUCUCGACUGUUUAUCAAAAACAUAGUUUUAAGUAUUCUAUUUAAAAUUAAACCUGCUCAAUGGAAAAUUAAAUAGCCGCAGUACCUUGACUGUGCAAAGGUAGCAUAAUCAAUUGGCUUAUAAUUGAAGUCUAGUAUGAAUGGGAAUUCGGGGAUCCUCUGUCUUAUUAAAACAUUUAGAACUUAUUAAAUAAGUGCAAAUACUUAUAAAUAGAAAAAAGACGAGAAGACCCUAGAAAUUUUUUAAAUAUAUAAUCUAUAAUUUUGUUGGGGCGACAAGGUAACAAAUAACUUACCUGUAUAAAUAGGAAGUUUUUACACAGUGCAAAUAAAUUACUCUAGGGAUAACAGCAUAAUAUUCUAAAGUUUGUGACCUCGAUGUUGGACUAGGGAGUGCAUUAUCUAAAAGGUAAUUUAAUAGGCUCUGUUCGAGCCUUAAUACCCUACAUGAUCUGAGUUCAGACCGG
rnacentral:rRNA from 1 species